GAUGAACGCUGGCGGCGUGCUUAACACAUGCAAGUCGAACGAAGCAUUUAAGACAGAUUACUUCGGUUUGAAGUCUUUUAUGACUGAGUGGCGGACGGGUGAGUAACGCGUGGGUAACCUGCCUCAUACAGGGGGAUAGCAGCUGGAAACGGCUGGUAAUACCGCAUAAGCGCACAGUACCACAUGGUACAGUGUGAAAAACUCCGGUGGUAUGAGAUGGACCCGCGUCUGAUUAGCUUGUUGGCGGGGUAACGGCCCACCAAGGCGACGAUCAGUAGCCGACCGGAGAGGGUGACCGGCCACAUUGGGACUGAGACACGGCCCAGACUCCUACGGGAGGCAGCAGUGGGGAAUAUUGCACAAUGGAGGAAACUCUGAUGCAGCGACGCCGCGUGAGUGAAGAAGUAGUUCGCUAUGUAAAGCUCUAUCAGCAGGGAAGAUAGUGACGGUACCUGACUAAGAAGCUCCGGCUAAAUACGUG
rnacentral:rRNA from 1 species